UACAGAGGGGGCAAGCGUUGUUCGGAAUUACUGGGCGUAAAGGGCGCGUAGGCGGCCUGCUAAGUCGAACGUGAAAUCCCCGAGCUCAACUCGGGAACUGCGUCCGAUACUGGCAGGCUUGAAUCCGGGAGAGGGAUGCGGAAUUCCAGGUGUAGCGGUGAAAUGCGUAGAUAUCUGGAGGAACACCGGUGGCGAAGGCGGCA
rnacentral:rRNA from 1 species